rnacentral:rRNA from 1 species
AUUGAACGCUGGCGGAAUGCUUUACACAUGCAAGUCGAGCGGCAGCGCGGGGGCGAACUCUGGCGGCGAGCGGCGAACGGGUAGGAGUAAUAGCAUCGGAACAAUGUCCGGUUGGUGGGGGAGUAACCUGGCGAAAGCCAGGCUAAUACCGCAUGAGCUCGAGAGAGGAAAGCGGGGGACCUGCAAGGCCUCGCGCGACCGGGUUGGCCGAUGUCCGAUUAGCUAGNGGUUGGGGGUAAAGGCUUACCAAGGCGAUGAUCGGUAGCUGGUCUGAGAGGAUGAUCAGCCACACU